rnacentral:lncRNA from 1 species
ACACAAACAGACUCCUUUGCCACCAAAACCCGCAAUUCUUCCCCAUCAGGGCCCAAUAACAGCUUCAAAACUGGUUGCAAAGCAUCUUUUGCCGAAAAGUCUCUAUCUUUUCUACCUUGUUCAAGUAAGUUUUCAAGUCUAUUCCACCUGCAAAAGAGUAUCAUUUCUUGUCAAUGUCCAAAAAAUAUAAUAACGCUUGUCACAUAAAACAAAGAUAGCAGCAGUUACAUGCCUAAACCUCCCAUCCUUGAACAGCAACUCGAUAAGAGCAUCCCUCAGAUACGGAUUUGGAUCAGUGAGAAGCCUCUUAGCAAAAUAAGGAUACGAAGCAGC